UUUUCUUGCUGCAAAUAAAAAAUUUCUCUGUCAAUUUCCUCUUAAUUAAGUUGUCAAGAUUCCAUUAUCUCCAUCCACAAGUAAUCGGCUUUCGAUGGAGCUGCAUGUGAUACAGAGAAGCUAGCAUAUUGAUUUCCUACUGCUACAAACUAACCAAGAAUCUUGGAGAGCUUCACAAUUCCCAGGAGUCGGUAGAAGCACAACAACUAGGAGAACAGGUGCACAAAUAAUACACAAAUUAGAUGAUAGCUCGUUGUCAAACCCGGCCAUCUGAUUUUGUUACUGCACUUUUGUUUGCAAAGGAUCAUCAGCAGGCUGGACAUGGCUAAGUUAAAGCAGCAUCUUCGUCACCUAAGGCAGCCAUUGAAGAUGCAACGUCAGCUUCCCAAAUGGCGGUAUGAUUGAAAGUUUGUGCAGAGGAAACAAUGUGUUGAAGUGAAGGCGGAACCAUAUUAAAAUGCUGCUGCUGCUGUUGAGGUUGCUGUUGUUGAUUAAGCAAGAACAGAUUUUCAUUUUCAUUGAUCAAAGAAUCCAGAAAUGAAGAGAAAGUAUCCUCAUUUCCAUUUCCAAUGUAAUUAUAUUCUGCAUUGCUUUGUCCUUGAUCACUUUGUAAACCCAUAACUAGAGCAUCACAAUUCGGCCGGUUAUCGUUACCAUCUGCCACAA